rnacentral:rRNA from 1 species
GACAGAGGGUGCAAACGUUGUUCGGAAUUACUGGGCGUAAAGGGCGCGUAGGCGGUGUGUCAAGUCAGGCGUGAAAGCCCCGGGCUCAACCUGGGAACCGCGCUUGAGACUGGCACGCUAGAGUUCGGGAGAGGAUGGUGGAAUUCCCAGUGUAGAGGUGAAAUUCGUAGAUAUUGGGAAGAACACCGAUGGCGAAGGCAGCCAUCUGGACCGACACUGACGCUGAGGCGCGAAAGCGUGGGGAGCAAACAGG